rnacentral:rRNA from 1 species
CCUACGGGAGGCAGCAGUGAGGAAUAUUGGUCAAUGGCCGGAAGGCUGAACCAGCCAAGCCGCGUGAAGGACGAAGGUGCCCAGCAUUGUAAACUUCUUUUGUCAAGGGACAAAAUCAGGCUCGAGAGCCUGACCGAGGGUACUUGAAGAAAAAGCAUCGGUUAACUCCGUGCCAGCAGCCGCGGUAAUACGGAGGAUGCGAGGGUUAUCCGGUUUUAUGGGGUUUAAGGGGUGCGUAGGCGGACUGUUAAGUCAGCGGUAAAAGCCCGGGGCUCAACCCCGGCGAGCCGUUGAAACUGGGUAUCUUGAGAUGUCGAGAGGUAUGCGGAAUGCGCAGUGUAGCGGUGAAAUGCUUAGAUAUUGCGCAGAACUCCGAUUGCGAAGGCAGCAUACCGGCGGCGAUCUGACGCUGAGGCACGAAAGCGUGGGUAUCGAACAGGAUUAGAUACCCGAGUAGUC